GGGGGGACACCUAUGGGGCGGGGGGGGGGCAGCUGGGGCCGUCGCUCAGAGCCGCCGGCGCCGCCAUGGCCCGAUCCUGGCUCCUGGGGCUGGUCCUGGGGCUCCUGCUGGUCCUGGCCCCCCCCGGGGGGCGAGGGGGGGACCCCGGGGGUCGCCAUGGCGACGGGGAGCAUCCCCAUCCCCAUAGCGACCGGGGGGACCCCCGUCUCCACGGCAACCGGGGGGCUCCCCGUCUCCACGGCGACCAGGGGGCUCCCCUUCCCCUUGGCGACGGGGGAGGGGAGGGGGGGGACCCCCCCGGGGGUCGCCAUGGAGACGGGGAACCCCCCCAUCAUCAUCAUCAUCAUCCUCCUCCUCCCCAUCACCAUGGCGCCGAGGAAGGCCCUCCCCAUGAGGCCGGGGAUCCCCGUCGCUAUGGCGACGAGGGGGGGGACCCCCCCGGGGGUCACCGUGGCGACGGGGAACCCCCCCAUCAUCCUCAUCAUCCUCAUCCUCAUCUUCAUCCAUCCGAGGGUCACCGUGGCGAAGAGGAAGGCUCCCCCCGCCAUCAUCAUCAUCACCAUGGCGAUGAGGAAGACCCCCCCAACCAUCAUCAUCAUCACCAUCAUCACCAUGGAGAUGAGGAAGACCCCAGCCCCCCCGGUCGCCAUGGCGAUGAUGAAGGCCACUAUGGCCAUGAGGAUGAGGAUGGGGAUGAUGAGGAGGAGGAGGAGGAUGAAGGCCACCCCCUCCAGCCCCAUCGCCACGGCGACGAAGGCCGUUACCAUGGCGACCGGCCCCACGGCCACCGCGACCCCCCCAGCUCCGAGGAGGAGGAGGAGGAGGAAGAUGAGGAAGAGGAGGAGGAGGAAGAUGAUGGUGAAGGGGACACCUCCGAGGAGGAGGAAGGGAGUGAGGAGGAGGAGGAGGAUGAGGCCGAAGGGCGAUACCAGCCCGGCUCCAUCUGCCGCUACUGCACCUUCUGCAAGGUACAGCGGGGGGGGACACAAAAUAAGGGGACCCCCCUCCCCUUUGGGGACAGGGGGACCCCCCCCUUGGGGACCCCCCCCCCCUUGGGGACACAUCCCCACCCCCUUU
rnacentral:lncRNA from 1 species